GCGUAUUUCCACGGAACAUUAAAUACUUUUACCGCGGGAGGCUGCAUUAACUGAGAGUAUUCGACACCAACCGAGCCUGGUGCUUACCGUGUAACAGUCGUCGCAAAACCCACCAAUGGCUCAAAUUCGCCAUUUAGUGCCACGGAAACGACAAUACACAGCAAGUGAGUUCUAAAAGAAAGGCAAUGAUAAUUCGCGAUAAGAGGUCUUCAGGUCUUCAGGACUGUACCCCAGAACUGUUCUUUUAAACGAACAACAAAGUGGUCUGGCAAAGUUGCCACUUUACGGGGAAGCCUUUUUAACCAUAAGUGAGGCAGGGGAGCAGUGCGAGGUAAGAUAAAAAUCUAGGUGAGACUCUCCCGCUACCGUUUGAUUAUCGAGUGAUCUUGUGAGCAUAAGACGUUAUAUUUCUUUUCGCCUUCCUUUAUUUUAAUUUUCCGAAAAGUUUCAUCUUAGCCAGGAAAUGUUAUAAGAGUAGUUAAAUGAACUUAAUAUGAACAUUUACUUCAUUUUUAUGUUAAAAAAUCAAGUUACGUUCCAGUUAGGCUGAAAACGGCACGGAAAAAUCGCCUUAAACGAAUACAAGCAGGAUUUUACUACAAUCCUAAUCAAAUCCUGUUAUUUGUGGAUAACUUUUGAGUUGUUUGUAUUUACUUAUUACGACUCGAAUUUUUCUCUUCACAGAAUGCUGAUGAUGUCAUUAGUACCGACUGUUUCCCGCAUUAAUUUCUGUAAGCUCACAUCAUUCAGCGUUGUCUUAUUUACAAUGGUCGAGGGUGUGAAAAAUUUCAAAAGAAAAAAUGUUAAAAGAGGGCGCUACACUGGCACAACAUAGCUACUUUUACUUCCCAAAUAACCUCAAACUGCAGUGCAAGGUAAGAUACUUCUAGAAUUAAACAACUGUCCUCGGAAAAAAGUUUGAAAAACCUCACAGUCAACAGAAUAGAUAUAUUUGAUUUACUUGUGGAGUUUACUAUAAUCCAGGGGUUUCAAUAAAAGCUGGUUACCAGCGGUAUACCGUCGCCUGUAGGACCUCGGGGCCGUCGUCUGUUUGGAUUUCAUUCAUGAAAAUAAAAAGUGAUUUUAGUGGUCAGAGCCGCCUUCAGUGGCCGCUUAUAACUAAUGUUAUUGAAACCCCUGUAAUCUGAACUUGUUUUAAACUCUCUCCUUGAGAGCAUAUUACAUGCACAAUUUAAAAUAAGGUUUGGUCAAUUAAAACGUUCCAGCACUUUUUAGGUCGUUAUUUACAACAAGCCUUGGAAACCUUUGUUGUUGGACACUGGUCUGUCUCAAGGCAAAUGCCGCGGACUUCGAGACAGUCGUCCGCCGGUGGAGAAAAUUUGAUUUUCUUGAAUAAAGAAAGUUCAUUCUCAGCACAAGGCUACACAUGGCUUGUGGAAAACCUCUCCAGUGAGGGGGACGUGGUUAUUGACGCAGGAACCCCCAAUGACUAAGCAAUGGUGGCUGCGUUGAGGAAAGGGCGAAGCGCGGUUAGGAUAGACAGUACCGCUUUGCCGUCCAAACAGACAGCAAUAGAGACUAAAAUUUGUAGUCUUGUAUCUUCAUAGUUUAUAUCUCAAUGACAAUAAACUAGUUAAAGUAAAAAAUUCAAUUGACAAAGUUUAUGUUAGAUACAAUGGAUAUAUGAAGUUCAU